GGUCUCCCAGUGCUUACCACAGGCUGUGUCCUUACACUGGCUGGAUAGGAAGAGGAGGCAGAACAGACCUUCCCCAUACACUCCAGCCAAGGCCCUGUGCUUCGUGCCUGGUCUGUAUUGUGAAUGGGGGGACAUGC